GUGUCCAUUUCUGUAAUAGCCCUU
rnacentral:snRNA from 1 species